AAAAUUGCAACAGGCAGUCCAUUCACUUAUAAGUUCUCAUGUUGUCAUCAAUACAAAAGUACGAAAACCAUUUAGUAUAUAAAACUAUAGCAACAUCUUCUACACCCAAGUGGAAUUUACCUUUAAUGUGAAGAAAGUUAUUUAGAAUCUACACCGAUUUUAACAUUUGUGUUUGAUAAUAUGGUUUCAAGAGUUAUCUUAAAAAAGGGUAAAUCAAAAUGUUAAAAUCUUUAAUCUAUAAAGAUUAAGAAGUAGUAGCUCCACAAACUACUCCCCGAAUUAAUGGAGAGGCUAAGUAAACAGGAUUUGUAAGUUGAACACUGAAGUUUCAAAUAUCCUCUAAAAAAACAAAAUCAGAAGCAAUGUUACCACCCGGCUUUGUAAAUUUUAACUUUAAGCAGAAAAAAGAAAAAAAAAAAAAACCUUUGUACUUGAUAAAAGGACUUGAUUUUAAAUAGUAACAUGCUUCACUUCAACUUCUUGUAGCUCUUAUUAGUUCUUGAUUUCAGCCACUUUAAUGAAUAAUGAUCCUUAUGGUCCAAAUUUCACUACUAUAAGAAAUUAAGAAUUAGAAAAUGCCCCUGUCACCUCCUACACCACCAAAAUGGUAUAUCAAUAACAAAAAUAGUCAUGUUCAAAUCGGAACCCAUAUAAUAUAUAGGGGGAAAUAAUAAAAUAACAUUAAUCAAAUGGUUCAAUUUUUUCAAUAUUAUUCUCCAUUCUGUUGUUUAGAUCAAGAUAUUAGUUUUUAACAUGUUGGGUUUUUCCAUAUUAACAUUGUCAUCAUAUCCAUUACUGUGGAUCUGGUCAAGCUUUACCCCCUCAUAAACGUAUUUGCCACUUCAUCGAAUUUUUGCAAGAAAAAGAAAGAAAUAACGAUUUAAUCUCCAAGUUUUAUUAAAAAACCUAAACAGUUGGACCAAACCUCCUGUCUGUCUGACAUCAAGAUAAAUCAUCAGUAAAUCAAGAAACAAAUAUAUGGUUUAGUGCUUGUUUCCCUACAAAACCAGGUAUAUUAUUAAACAUGUGAAAGUCAUAAAAAAAGUCAAGGGAGAAACCUGAUCAAAGUUGAAAGUUCAAAACUGGAUAUCCAAAUCUGAACUGCAAAGGUUUAUAAUGGAGAAGAGCAUAUAAACCUGGUCACAAUGAGCUGAUAUCAAGAAACAUCUUUGUGAAAUGUCUAAAAAAAUUAACAUACACGCUUUUAACCAUUUGGAUUUCACAUAUAUCUGGGUUUUUCCUUUCCAAGCACCAAUCAACUGAAACAUGAGCUAAUAUAAGUUAUUUUUACCUCAAAUAACGAGAGGCAUACCGUCAUGGUGGUGGCUGUCCGGUGGUGGUGAGUUGUUUGAGGUGGCGGAGAAGUCGAUGGAGGUGGUAAGGAAGGGUAGUGUCAAGUGGCAGCAGUUCUGGGGACUGGGGUUAGGGUUUUGUAGGUGCGAUGGAGGGAGCGGAGGUUGUUUGAAUAGUAUGAGUUGGCGUCGACCGGCGAUGGUGGCAACGAGGAUGGUGGUGACGGUGGGUUGAAGGCUGGUGGUGGAUGGUUACCGGAUUUGGAGAGAGAUAAAGAGAGGUGUUUAAUUUGAUUGAAACAAACAAACGUUGUGAGUUACUUUUCAAAUAUCAACCCAAUCCAUAGAGUAUUAUUUCAAACCCAUAUGGCCAUGCCAGGUGAUCGCCGUUCUGUUUGAAAUCAUGAAACCGGUCAUCGGUUUUGGUUUUUCGAUUUAUAUUUUUUUUACAGUUUGGUUUGUGGUUUUGAAAAUUUUAAAC
rnacentral:lncRNA from 1 species